CCUUUAUAUACGAGUGCGCUCCGCCCUAGGAAGUCGUGCCAUAAUUGAGUUGCGGUGUUCGGUCGAUUUCCGCGUGCUCUCUCGGUUCGUCGAAUCCUCUGAAUCGGGCACCAAACCCUAACCCUAGAUUCGCGAUCAUGUCGUCCAAGCAAGGUGGCAAGGCGAAGCCUUUGAAGCAGCCGAAGGCUGAUAAGAAGGAGUACGACGAGAAUGAUUUGGCCUACCUUCAAAAGAAGAAGGAAGAAGAGAAGGCAUUGAAGGAGCUUAAAGCCAAGGCUACGCAGAAGGGAUCCCUUGGAGGAUCUGGACUCAAGAAGAGUGGCAAGAAGUGAGGGUUGUCUCCAACAAUGAUUGGAAUACAGGACAUUAGACUUGGGCACUGUGAUUACAUCUGUAUUGAACCUCGUUUAGGUCAAGUAUGACCGUCCUGUGUCGUUCUACUUGUGUUUGUGCUUGUGUUUUAAUGGAGACUAAUCAGAUCACUUAAAGCUGUGUGUCAGUUACGCUGCUUGUCCUUAAUUAUGGCAUGGCAUUGAUUUCUGAUUGUGCUUUAGCUGGCAACUGCUGAUUAUUGAAUUGAACAAUGUUCCUUUCGAAUGUUUUAAA